CCACCCCACCCCCACUCUCCGCGGCGCCCUCCCCCAGCCCCACCGGCCGCCGCCCCUCCCCCGGCGGCUGCUUGUGGCCACUGGGAUCCCUGUCGCCCCGGGACUCAGCUGACAGCGGACAGACAAUGGAGCGUCUCAACGGAUUGUCCGGAGGCCAGAAUUGAAACAGGACUCUCUUUUGGAAGUUCCAAAGUGAAAUAUUAGAAUGACAGAGGCAGAAAUACAGUGCUGUGUGGAUUGGAGAUGGUGUUUUCAAGGGUGACAAAGUAGAGGCUCAAAGAAACUAACUUGUUGAGCAGUUAAAUGCCUCCGAAGUGCACACUUGUUCUGACACAUCACAGGUGUUCUUGCAUGGCCUGGGGAUGCCCCCAUGGAUGAAGAUUGCCCCUGGCCAAAGGCCCUGGCCAAAAGACCCUGAUGAUGGGAAAGAUUGAAGGCAGGAGGAGAAGGGGAGACAGAGGAUGAGAUGGUUGGAUGGGAUCACCGACUCAAUGGACAUGAGUUUGAGUGAACUCCAGGAGUUGGUGAUGGAUGGGGAGGCCUGGCAUGCUGCAGUCCAUGGGGAUGCAGAUUCAGACACGACUGAGUGACUGAACUGAACUGAAAGGAAUAGCGAGGCUGAAUUGCUGCACCAUCUGGAGCGGCCAAGUCAGACCAGGCCUGGGGUCUGCUCAGGAGCUGGAAGACCUUGAACAUGGCUACAGCUCCUCCUUGAUCACUGAUCUCUCGGGCUUCCUUGUGGCUUUGACAACCAUCAGUUAUGUCAACACAACACCUUACACGUGCUGAAAAAGUCACUGCUUUGGGAAAAUGUGCUUUUGUUCUUCACAACCAGAGUGUCAGAGCCACUGUGAGUAUAGGGGGGUCCCUUAAAUCUCAGAGCUUCAUUGGAGAGGUGGAUCCAUCUGUUCACCCUUGGGACUUGGAGCGGGGAAGACCCUCCUCAGUCCCCUCAGCAGAGCUUUCCAUGGAGCUAUCCAAGGUCCUGCAAGUGCUUUGCCCGGUGCUGCCUGUAAUCAGUUGACCUCCGAUCUUUCUGUCUGGGUCCUUGGCCUCUGGCCUUCCCUGACUUUGGGACCCACCAAACUUUACAGUACCCCGCCCUUUCACCCACUUUCUAGGUCCUGCUGAUCCGAGCUCACUGGACCCGGUGCACCAUGGCCUUGAGGCCUCCCUCUGCACCUCCGCUGUCCUUGCUGAUAAUCAGCCGAGCCCACUGUCCAGCAGUGUGUCACUCUGUCCCUUACAUCCUCCCACGGGCACUUGCUUUCCUGUGUGGUUGUUCCUUGGAAUCUGGUCGAUUUUCAAGACAUACUCAAUUUAUUGAUUUUGUCCUUUCUACUUCUCCGGCCACAUAAGCAGACAUUUAUGAAAAGUUUCCUGGCUUUAGAGCAGUGGGGAUAUUCUAAUUUAAUAAAGCCCAUGACUUGAGGAGGCUUGUGUCUCAGUCCUGUGACUUGGUUACAUCUACUCUAUGUAUCUUGAUACAAGAAAUUGAGUCUCCAAAGAGAAUUGACUAGAAAAUGAGCUUCCAUUGAAAAGCUGGUUUGCUUUUGUGUUCUGGUCUCAGCAUUGCUCCUGACCAGCAGUGUGACCUUGGGCAAGUCAUUUAAGCCAUACAUUCCCUUCGUAUCUCCUGUCAUUCACUCACUUUCUUGUACAAGUUACUCAUCAUGCAUCAUGCACUUGGCGAGGUGCUGUGGAUGCUGCAAGGAGAAAGAUACAGUUUCUAUCUUCAGGGAGCUUGCAGUGUAAUCCAGGAGACCAAUAUGCACUUGGCUAAAAUAUAAAUAGUGUCAAAAAUUAUUACAACAGUAGAAGCAAAGUGCAGAGGGUACAGGGAGGCCAUAUCCAUCCUUGCUGUCCCAUCUGCUUGGAAGGCUUCACCCAGACCCUCGUGUGACUCACAUCCUCACUUCUGCAGCUCUUCGGUCGAUGUCCUGUCAUCAGAGAGGCCAUCUCUGACUACCCUAUUUGAAGAAGGAACCCUGCCCCUGGCCUGGCACCUCCCUGUGUCUCUCUUCUGCUUUUUUUUUUCCCCAUAGCACUUAUCAUCCCCUGGCAGGGAAGAAUCCAUCCUAUCUGUUAAGUGGGGGGCUUCACUCAUGAUCCCAGUAGUGAGUUAAAUGGUGACCCUAAAACAUACAUAUACAUCUUAGCCCCAGAAGCUUUGAAUGUGACUUAUUUGGAAAAAGAGUCUUUGCAGACAUAAUUAAGGAUCUUGAGAGGAGGUCAUUCUGGAUUUACCUGGGUGGACUCUAAAUUUAAUGAAAAGUGUCCUUAUAAGAGACAGAAGAGAAGACUCAGACAGAGGACAAGGCUACUUGAAGACAGGGGCAGAGACUGGAGUGACGUGGACACCAGUCAAGGAAGCUAGAGAGGUUGGGAAGGAUGCUCCCCUGGAAGCUUCGGAGGGAGCAUGGCCCUGCCGACAGCUUUACUUCAGACUUCUGGCCCCCACGACCACGGGAGAAUAAGUUUCUGCUGCUUUAAGCCACCA